rnacentral:lncRNA from 1 species
GUUUGUCCCUAAGGGCUGCUGGACUGAGAUCAUCAUGCCCAUUUUACAGACGGAGAAAUGGAGGCGGGCAACCGUUCCUCAACUCGCUGUGAUUCUUUCAGAAACCGGAGGUACAAUCCCAGCUGUGCUGCUUCCUGCCAAAGGCUCUAACCCUCUCCGGAAGCAGCUUGCUUGUGUGUCCCGACCUCAGGGGUCAGAGGUCUGGCAGUGCAGCGGGGAGGGGAGGGGAACUUGAGCAAUAUGGGGCCACACCUGCUGCCUGCCAGCCCCCAGGUAUGGGCCCACUUCCCCCAGAUGCCCGAGGGCCCUGCUGCUCGAUGCCUACCCUGGGGUCCCCCCCAGGCAGAGAGGCCCAGCACCCCCUGCCGGGCUCAGGGUCACAGGAGGCAGAGAGGUGGGAGGCCCCACCUGAGGCUUCCCCACAGGAGCCCCCUGGGUGGGAGGCAGUGCCGAGGGCAGGGGCGAGGCCUGAAUGCUGCAGAGCUGGCUGGGACCCUCUCAAGAAACUGGGUUUCCCGGGAGCCUGCUAGGCCUCUGCGGCCCUUCUGUCACUGGCCAUGUCCCCGAGGACCACCCAGCAGGCCGAGCCGGGCUGCAGACAGGGACAGAUGGACAGACAGCACUGCAGCCAGGAGGGGCGGGCCAAGAAGCCAGUUGCAGCCGGACUGUACCGGGGUCUCAGACCACGGCGGGGGCGCUCGCAGGGGCUCCAGGCCCAGCAGCGGCCGAGGCCCGGGGUCAGGGGUGGACGGCAGGCAGUCCCGGGGACCAAGCAGCGCGGGGACGGCUCGCAGCCCAUCUGGGUCCACCCGGGCUCUUGGGGUUGGGAGGGCCUGGCCUUCGCUGACCCAGCCCAGCAGGGCCCGCCUCAGAUCGCCUGGUAAUUUCUGGAAGCUGCAAGGCCCCUGGGGAUCACCACUCCCCUACACGCAGCCCCCGCCACACCUGCCUACCCGCCUGUUUAUCUCCGGCUCCAGGGCCCUGGGAUGAAAAGCAGGACCACUCCCCAGGCCCCCGGACCCCCACCCCAGUCCACC